rnacentral:rRNA from 1 species
UACGGGGGGAGCAAGCGUUGUUCGGAUUUACUGGGCGUAAAGGGCGCGUAGGCGGCCAGCACAAGUCAGUUGUGAAAUCUCCGAGCUUAACUCGGAAAGGUCAACUGAUACUGUGCGGCUAGAGUGCGGAAGGGGCAACUGGAAUUCUUGGUGUAGCGGUGAAAUGCGUAGAUAUCAAGAGGAACACCUGCGGCGAAGGCGGGUUGCUGGGCCGACACCGACGCUGAGGCGCGAAAGCCAGGGGAGCGAACGGG